UACGAAGGGGGCUAGCGUUGCUCGGAAUUACUGGGCGUAAAGCGCACGUAGGCGGCUUUGUAAGUCAGGGGUGAAAUCCCGGGGCUCAACCUCGGAACUGCCUUUGAUACUGCAAAUCUCGAGUCCGGAAGAGGUGAGUGGAAUUCCUGGUGUAGAGGUGAAAUUCGUAGAUAUUAGGAAGAACACCAGUGGCGAAGGCGGCUCACUGGUCCGGUACUGACGCUGAGGUGCGAAAGCGUGGGGAGCAAACAGG
rnacentral:rRNA from 1 species